UUUCCGUAGGUGAACCUGCGGAAGGAUCAUUAUCGAAAUACUUAUUUAACGUUCCGUGCUAUCCCAUUGUUUUAUUUACCCUGUUGCUUCCACUGGAUGAGUUUCCAUACCUUGUGUUUGAGAAACUUUGGCUUGUGUAAGAUUCAUUCACGGCCAGCCAGUGAGAAGACCAUUUACAAAACCCUGUUAAGAACCAAUUGUCUGAAUAUUUUACUCCAAUGAAAUAAAACUCUCAACAACGGAUCUCUAGGCUCUU
rnacentral:misc_RNA from 1 species